GAUGAACGCUGGCGGCGUGCCUAAUACAUGCAAGUCGAGCGCGAGAUUGAGGAGCUUGCUCCUCAUGAUCGAGCGGCGGACGGGUGAGUAACACGUAGGCAACCUACCCUUGAGAUUGGGAUAACUACCGGAAACGGUAGCUAAUACCGGAUACGACAUAGUCACAAAAGUGAUUGUGUUAAAAGGCGGAUUUAUCUGCCGCUCAUGGAUGGGCCUGCGGUGCAUUAGCUAGUUGGUGAGAUAGAAGCUCACCAAGGCGACGAUGCAUAGCCGACCUGAGAGGGUGAUCGGCCACACUGGGACUGAGACACGGCCCAG
rnacentral:rRNA from 1 species